GACGAACGCUGGCGGCGUGCUUAACACAUGCCAGUCGAACGGAAAGGCCCUGCUUUUGUGGGGUGCUCGAGUGGCGAACGGGUGCGUAACACGUGAGUAACCUGCCCUUGACUUUGGUAUAACUUCAGGAAACUGGGGCUAAUACCGGAUAGGAGCUCCUGCUGCAUGGUGGGGGUUGGAAAGUUUCGGCGGUUGGGGAUGGACUCGCGGCUUAUCAGCUGGUUGGUGGGGUAGUGGCUUACCAAGGCUUUGACGGGUAGCCGGCCUGAGAGGGUGACCGGCCACAUUGGGACUGAGAUACGGCCCAGACUCCUACGGGAGGCAGCAGUGGGGAAUAUUGCACAAUGGGCGGAAGCCUGAUGCAGCAACGCCGCGUGCGGGAUGACGGCCUUCGGGUUGUAAACCGCUUUCGCCUGUGACGAAGCGUGAGUGACGGUAAUGUGUAAAGAAGCACCGGCUAACUACGUG
rnacentral:rRNA from 1 species